rnacentral:rRNA from 1 species
GACGAACGCUGGCGGCGUGCUUAACACAUGCAAGUCGAACGGAAGGGCCCCUUUGGGGGUACUCGAGUGGCGAACGGGUGAGUAACACGUGAGUAACCUGCCCUUGACUUCGGGAUAACUUCAGGAAACUGGGGCUAAUACCGGAUAGGAAUCCUUGCUGCAUGGUGGGGGUUGGAAAGCUUCGGCGGUUUUGGAUGGACUCGCGGCUUAUCAGCUUGUUGGUGGGGUAGUGGCUUACCAAGGCUUUGACGGGUAGCCGGCCUGAGAGGGCGACCGGCCACAUUGGGACUGAGAUACGGCCCAGACUCCUACGGGAGGCAGCAGUGGGGAAUAUUGCACAAUGGGCGGAAGCCUGAUGCAGCAACGCCGCGUGCGGGAUGACGGCCUUCGGGUUGUAAACCGCAUUCAGCAGGGGCGAAGCUUGUGGUGACGGUACCUGCAGAAGAAGCACCGGCUAACUACGUG